rnacentral:rRNA from 1 species
UGAAGCCGGAAUCGCUAGUAAUCGCGGAUCAGAAUGCCGCGGUGAAUACGUUCCCGGGUCUUGUACACACCGCCCGUCACACCAUGGGAGUCGGAAAUGCCCGAAGCCGGUGACCCAACCCGAAAGGGAGGGAGCCGUCGAAGGCAGGUCGGAUGACUGGGGUGAAGUCGUAACAAGGUAUC